UGACUAAUGCUAUUUUCAGAGUUCAAGUAAACACUUUCAUAAUGAGAGGAAUAGAGUUUACUGGGAAAGUUAGUAUUAUCUUCUAAAUAUGGUUUGAUAGAAAACAAUUUAGCCAGUAUAUUCUUGCUAUGCUAAAGUUACAACAGCAGGCUCUUUGAGCUGCAUAUAGCAUAAGCCCUACAGACCUGUUGCCAAGUUUUCAGCGGACACAACAUCUUUGUGUGUAUGUGGUGCUGGGGAUCGAACUCCGGCCGCACGCAUGCCAGGCGACCGUGCUACCGCUUGAGCCACAUCCCCAGCCCAGCCAAAGAGUCUUAAGCACAACUUAAAUUUCCUGAAAGAAGAGGGGUGUCACCAAAAUCUGCAGGACUCAGUGAAGAACAGCUCCUGUCUUCCCAGCGCUUCUCAAACUUACAUCAAACGCCCACACUUUGGGUGGGACUGUAGGUUCAAUCACUCUGUCUUUCUGAUUCCUUCCCCCUCCUUUGCAUACAGAACAAAAGUGAAUUUUCAAAAUUUAAAUAAACGUAUAUGAGGUGGUUUUAUUA